CUAAUACUCCCUCCGUCCCAAAAUUCUUGUCUUAGAUUUGUCUAAAUACGGAUGUAUCUAGUUACGUUUUAGUGUUAGAUGCAUUUGUAUCUAGACAAAUCUAAGACAAGAAUUUUGGGACGAAGGGAGUAUUUA
rfam:Triticum urartu cultivar G1812 contig1188134, whole genome shotgun sequence.